GUUAUUAGAAGGUACAGCGCGCAGUGGUGAGGGUUAGGGUUAUUGUAGUUAAAGGUACAUUGUGCAGUGGUGAGGGUUAGGGUUAUUGUAGUUAAAGGUGCAGUGCACAGUGGUGAGGGUUAGGGUUAUUAUAAAGGUUAAAGGUACAGUGUGUAGUGGUGAGGUUGCUGAAUUGCGUCCAGCUGAAUACCCAUCCCUUUACAAGCCUAUGCGAGUGCCUAAAUGCCACAGAAAUGCAAAAACCCAGUUUUGGUUUGUCCGUUGUGGG
ensembl:lncRNA